rnacentral:rRNA from 1 species
UACGAAGGUGGCUAGCGUUGUUCGGAUUUAUUGGGCGUAAAGGGUCCGCAGGCGGUUUGAUAAGUCAGGUGUGAAAUCCCUCAGCUUAACUGUGGACACGCAUUUGAUACUGUUAGACUAGAGUAUGAGAGGGGUGAGAGGAAUUUCCAGUGUAGGGGUGAAAUCCGUAGAUAUUGGAAAGAACACCGGCCGCGAAGGCGUUUCACUGGCUCAUUACUGACGCUCAGGGACGAAAGCCAGGGGAGCAAACGGG